AUGGCUCAUUAAAUCAGUUAUCGUUUAUUUGAUAGUACCUUACCACUUGGAUAACCGUGGUAAUUCUAGAGCUAAUACAUGCUAAAAACCCCGACUUCGGAAGGGGUGUGUUUAUUAGAUAAAAAACCAAUGCCCUUCGGGGCUCUUUGGUGAUUCAUGAUAACCUAACGGAUCGCAUGGCCUUGCGCCGGCGACGGUUCAUUCAAAUUUCUGCCCUAUCAACUUUCGAUGGUAAGGUAUUGGCUUACCAUGGUUUCAACGGGUAACGGGGAAUUAGGGUUCGAUUCCGGAGAGGGAGCCUGAGAAACGGCUACCACAUCCAAGGAAGGCAGCAGGCGCGCAAAUUACCCAAUCCCGACACGGGGAGGUAGUGACAAUAAAUACUGAUAUAGGGCUCUUUUGGGUCUUGUAAUUGGAAUGAGUACAAUUUAAACCCCUUAACGAGGAACAAUUGGAGGGCAAGUCUGGUGCCAGCAGCCGCGGUAAUUCCAGCUCCAAUAGCGUAUAUUAAAGUUGUUGCAGUUAAAAAGCUCGUAGUUGAAACUUGGGUCUGGCUAGCGGGUCCGCCUCACCGCGUGCACUUGUCCGGCUGGACCUUUCCUUCUGGAGAACCUCAUGCCCUUCACUGGGUGUGUUGGGGAACCAGGACUUUUACUUUGAAAAAAUUAGAGUGUUCAAAGCAGGCCUUUGCUCGAAUACGUUAGCAUGGAAUAAUAGAAUAGGACGUGCGGUCCUAUUUUGUUGGUUUCUAGGAUCGCCGUAAUGAUUAAUAGGGAUAGUCGGGGGCAUCAGUAUUCAAUUGUCAGAGGUGAAAUUCUUGGAUUUAUUGAAGACUAACUACUGCGAAAGCAUUUGCCAAGGAUGUUUUCAUUAAUCAGUGAACGAAAGUUAGGGGAUCGAAGACGAUCAGAUACCGUCGUAGUCUUAACCGUAAACUAUGCCGACUAGGGAUCGGGCGAUGUUUCUAUCUUGACUCGCUCGGCACCU
rnacentral:rRNA from 1 species